ensembl:lncRNA
ACAGACUAGACUGCAGAAGCUCCAUCCUGCACUAAAACUCAGCUACUCUUUUAUCCCACCCUACUCAAUGGACGCAUCAAACAGGCAGCAGCAGAGCACCCUCCAGCUUUCACCUGCUGACCUGCCCGCUCCAGCUGAGGGUUACAGAAGAGAAGACUCUCCCUGGACCAUGAGAUCCAACAAACACCUCUCAACAGAAAUACAGGCUUGUGGACUGAUCAGAAAGUGACGAAGUAUUUCUAGUACAUAACGUAAAAGGUAUUAACUUGUAUUGAAACAUGAAUUGAGCUUCCAUUUUAACCACUGAUAGCCAUUAGAAAGAUAACGGGUCAUCUUAUUCAUUACGUCUAGAAAGACCCUCAGAAUGUGCUGCUAAGGACAGGUUGGAGUGAUUGCUUUCUAUCAAUUAGCAGCAUGGGACAUGUUCUAAAUGUAGCCUAGUCUAGACUUUCCUGCUUUGGGUAGAUAACACAGCUGAUAUCACACAAGACUGUUUGAUGAGAAUCUUUACAGAAAGAAUCACUGCUGUGGGAAGUUCAGAUAUGAUUUUCAGCUGCUGAAAUAUGAUCAGAAUGAAAAUCUCAGCUCAGCUCUCAGACCGACAUGGGUGAAACGAUGUCUUCCUGGAGGCACAUCUACGUGGGGAGGAACCAGCAACCCUUCGGCAAAAUUCAAAUGCAGUUCUUCAGUGGGGAGCUUUCAUUCCCCACUGUGCCUGUGGCACAUGGGCAGUGAGCCAGUAGGGUCUGGGGAUCGGGGUGAGUGGGAUGAGUGGGACUGCUCCUCCAGCCCAGAGCUUUCCAGCUCUACUCAGGUGGGACCUGGCCAAUGCCCAGCACCCCUCUGUUGGAUCCAACACACAGAGAUGCCCUUGGCUGUGCUCUGAUGAGUGGUGAGGAGCUGAAGCCAGGCUGAUUCAAGGUGGAAAUGCAGCAUUUUAUUUAUUUGUUUGUUUGUUUUUAGCAGAAGCUGUGAUUUUAAA